rnacentral:rRNA from 1 species
AACUGCGAGUGAAGCGGGAAAAGCUCAAAUUUAAAAUCUGGCGGUCCUUGGCCGUCCGAGUUGUAAUUUAGAGAAGCGUCUUCCGCGCUGGACCGUGCACAAGUCUCCUGGAAUGGAGCGUCAUAGAGGGUGAGAAUCCCGUCUUUGGCACGGAUGCCUGGUGCUUCUGUGAUGCGCUCUCGAAGAGUCGAGUUGUUUGGGAAUGCAGCUCAAAAUGGGUGGUGAACUCCAUCUAAAGCUAAAUAUUGGCGAGAGACCGAUAGCGAACAAGUACCGUGAGGGAAAGAUGAAAAGCACUUUGGAAAGAGAGUGAAACAGUACGUGAAAUUGUUGAAAGGGAAACGCUUGAAGUCAGUCGCGUCGACCGAGACUCAGCCUUGCCUUGGCUUGGUGUACUUCUCGGSCUGACGGGUCWGCAUCAAUUUUGCACCUCGGAUAAUGGCAAGGGAAAGGUGGCACCUUUACGGGUGUGUUAUAGUCUCCUGUCGCAUGCGAGGGGUGGGAUUGAGGAACUCAGCRCGCACCUCAGUGUCGGGGCUUCG